rnacentral:rRNA from 1 species
GACGAACGCUGGCGGCGUGCUUAACACAUGCAAGUCGAACGAGGAUCUCCCGUUUAGUGGGGCGCGUAGUCGCAAACGGGUGAGUAAUGCGUUUAUAUUCGGCAUUUCACUCUGAGAUAAGUCUUUGAAACGGAUUCUAUUACUGGAUACUACUUUCUUCCGCUUGGUGUGGGGUGGAGAUGGUUUUACUGGUUUUUGAUGUGCUCACGUCCCAUCAGCUUGUUGGAGGAGUAAUGGCUCACCAAGGCGAAGACGGGUAGCCGGACCGGGAGGGUGAGCGGGAACACUGGGACUGAGACAGAGCCAAGACUCAGACGGGAGGGAGAAGUAGGGAAGAUUGAUAAAGGGGAGGGAGCCUGAUGCUGAGCCGCCGAGUGAGCGAUGACGGUGUACGGGUUGUAAAUCUAUUUCAGUUGGAAAGAAGAUAAAAGUGACGGUACCGGGAGAAGAAGCGCCGGCUAACUACGUG